rnacentral:rRNA from 1 species
UACGAAGGGGACUAGCGUUGUUCGGAAUCACUGGGCGUAAAGCGCGCGCAGGCGGUCAUCUACGUCUGGGGUGAAAGCCCGGAGCUCAACUCCGGGAUUGCCUUGGAUACGGGAUGACUUGAGGAUCGGAGAGGCAAGGGGAAUUCCACGUGUAGCGGUGAAAUGCGUAGAGAUGUGGAGGAACACCUGUGGCGAAGGCGCCUUGCUGGCCGAUUUCUGACGCUGAGGCGCGAAAGCGUGGGGAGCAAACGGG